GCCCCUGUAGCUCAACAGGAUAGAGCAUGGGACUUCUAAUCCCAAGGGUGAGGGUUCAAAUCCCUCCAGGGGCU
rnacentral:tRNA from 1 species